rnacentral:miRNA from 1 species
AUUAUUGUCAACGUGACUAG